CACCCUAAGCCCAGUCACAGGAAUUUGAUGAUCAACAGACUGUACUGUCCACUUUGUACAAGCUGAGAUGUUUCUUGGUCAUGACUUCUGAGGACUUACAGCCUUCCCGGGCUCCCAAGAUCCAAGGAUGCCCUCUUACCUUGUCUUGAAGCAUCUAAAGGAAAACUGGAAAGAGCAGUGAUACAUGAACAAUUCCCAGCUUUCCCAGCAGGAAGAUUGGCCUCUUUACGUUGGAAGACCUCUGGCUGUGGUGUUUGCAUUUCAGAGCCUUUCCACCUGUUUUGGAUAAGCUGGGUGAAAUUGCUCAGCAAGCAAGAUGACUUUGACAAAACGCUAAAUCUUUUGGCCAAUGUCCAUCAGAAGAUGAGAGGAGAGAGGAACGGGGCAGAAGUUCACAUUCAAGAAGGCAAUAUGAAACUACCUAUAGACACCAAAUGAGGUCAAGGACCAUUGUACUUUCAUACUGGUGUCCUUUUGUGAGGCAUUUAAAAUCAAAAUACUCUGGCACAUAAAGGAAGCAGAUUUACACCUUCCUAGAAAGAAAAGCAGAAGUGACCAGUCACUGUUGCCAGGAGCAUUCUGCCUUUUUCAGAAGAACUUCUCAAGGAGCCCAGGUACUCUCAUUUGAGUCCUUCAGCACAGAUUCCACAUCCCACA
rnacentral:lncRNA from 1 species